rnacentral:sRNA from 1 species
UGCUGCCCUUGGUGUUCUAUUCUGAGCCUGAUCGAUGCUCUGGGGGCUUAGGGUGGAGCUUGGAACCUCAGACAGCAUGGGAUGGGGUGAGUCUAUGUCCUUGGGGCUCACAAGUCUGCCUUUAUAGGCCUUGGCCUUAGGUUCCACACUGUCUGUCUCCCCCGAGGCUCCCAUGGCCCUAGGCUGAUUUCCAUUCUUGUCGACUUUCCAGAAAGAAAAAAAAAAAAAGGGCUUGGAAGUAUAUUCCCUGGGGUUGAAUAUCAGCCUCUACUUUUUAUUUUCUCUCCUUUCCGUUUGGGGGUAAAGAUCUCAGCAGCCAAGACAGUGUGGAACUGUAGAGGUGAGGCUAGUCUAGAACUCAUGAUCCUCCUGCCUCAUCCUUCUGGGAUUGCAGGCAUUGACCUCUGACCUGUGUGGUCUUGUGCAGACCAGCUUGUGUCUCUUUGUUUUGAUUGUGUCUGUCAGGGGAGGGCAGAACAGCUGUGCCACAGGCUGGUUGGAGAGACCAGAUAUGGCCGUGCUCAUAAAGAGUUAAUUCCGACCACUACAGGAGCGCUGAGCAGUGCUCAGAAAGAAUUAGUUAUGGUUAGGUGGGAGAGGACUCAACUAGGCAUGGGCUCUGAGACCCGUUGACCUGAGUGUCUUCCUGCAAGGAAGGUCUCUUCCUGCAAGGUGCCCUCUAACACCGGAGAAUAGUCAGCCAGCCAGAUCAUAGACACCAAUAGUAACCGGAAGGCAGAGCAGCCAGAAGGCAUCUGGAGGUCUGUCGUCCUAAAUAGAUGGGGUAGGGGCAAGACUCCAGCCCCUGAAUUCAGCCCCAGACAUUUCCUGUGCUUGCCUUGGAAGACCAAAGAUUUAAUUGCCAGCAUUUGGAUGGUGGCGGUUGGGCUCCAGGUGUGUCCUUAAAGUGGUUGUGACUUAGGCCAGCCCCCCUGCCCUUAGCCCAAGUUCUGCUGCCCUUCUCUGGGGGUGGAGAGGUGAAACGUACCCUCCAGCCUUUGAUGUCUCUCUUCUCCCACCCCCAACCCCACCUGCCAGGCGGCUGGGCAUCCAGGCAGAGAGGGCAGCCAUCUUGCUCAGGCCUAGUCCAUUGCCAUAGCAACUUGGAGCCUCCCAGUCCCGGUGCAUAUGCCCCUUUGAAAAAUUUAUCAGGAAAACUUCCGUGUUUAAAAAUUAACCGUUGGAUUGAAAUAUUAAAGAUGAGCUGCUUUGGGUAGGCAGAGGGCAGUGGAUUGGGGGUGUGAGAACCCUACUUUCCUGUCAGGGUGGCACCUACCCGUGCCCAGCAUUAGGGCUGCAGUGGUCAGUUCCCAUGUGUCUGGAAGCCCAAGUCCUUCUGUGUAGAUUGGUGUUUGGGUAGCAAGGGGCCUGCUCCCCUUCCCCCGUCCAGCCAUGAGCUGAGACCUUCCAUUUUCCAUGCCUGUUCACCUGGCCCAGGUGAGUUUCGUCAUCCCAGCCUUCGACUCAAACUUCACUCUGGACCUGGAGCUAAACCAUCACCUCCUGUCCUCGCAGUAUGUGGAACGCCACUUCAGCCGUGAGGGGACAAGGCAACACAGUACUGUGAGUGUCUUACGAAGGGAUCAGGAGGGAUAGAGGUGCUGUCCAGCGGCCACAGGUGCAAGGGUGGGGCUUUGAUCCCCAGAACACUGACAGAUCGGAACACAGGACAGAGAGACGAUGGUGGAGGGGUCCGGAAGGCCCAGUCCCACCCCUCCCUGCUUCUGAGGUUCCGUGGCCCUGCGGUUAGGAAGGAUAGACUGGGUGGUGUGGGACCCUGAGCCCCACCCCCCCCAGCUUCAGA